AACCUUUACACUGCACGACAGUGCGAUAGGGGGACUCCGAGUGUGAGGGCAUAUAGCCCUCGCUUUUCUGAACCGUAAGGUGGUUCAGGAACAAGGACUGGGCAAGACCGGUGCCAGCCGCCGCGGUAAUACCGGCAGUCCGAGUGAUGGCCGAUAUUAUUGGGCCUAAAGCGUCCGUAGCUUGCUGUGUAAGUCCAUUGGGAAAUCGACCAGCUCAACUGGUCGGCGUCCGGUGGAAACUACACAGCUUGGGGCCGAGAGACUCAACGGGUACGUCCGGGGUAGGAGUGAAAUCCCGUAAUCCUGGACGGACCACCGAUGGCGAAAGCACCUUGAGAGGACGGACCCGACGGUGAGGGACGAAAGCCAGGGUCUCGAACCGGAUUAGAUACCCGGGUAGUCCUGGCCGUAAACGAUGUUCGCUAGGUGUGGCGCAGGCUACGAGCCUGCGCUGUGCCGUAGGGAAGCCGUGAAGCGAACCGCCUGGGAAGUACGUCUGCAAGGAUGAAACUUAA
rnacentral:rRNA from 1 species